GAGACAGCAGUAGCCGCGGUAAGACAGAGGGUGCGAGCGUUAAUCGGAUUUACUGGGCGUAAAGCGUGCGUAGGCGGCUUCUUAAGUCGGAUGUGAAAUCCCUGAGCUUAACUUAGGAAUUGCAUUCGAUACUGGGAAGCUAGAGUAUGGGAGAGGAUGGUAGAAUUCCAGGUGUAGCGGUGAAAUGCGUAGAGAUCUGGAGGAAUACCGAUGGCGAAGGCAGCCAUCUGGCCUAAUACUGACGCUGAGGUACGAAAGCAUGGGGAGCAAACAGGAUUAGAUACCCCGGUAGUCCCUGUCUCUUAUAC
rnacentral:rRNA from 1 species